rnacentral:tRNA from 1 species
GGCCAGUUAGCUCAGUCAGUCGAGCAUGGCGCUAACAACGCUAAGGUCGCGGGUUUGAUUCCUGUUCGGUUCC